rnacentral:lncRNA from 1 species
UAAAUCAAGAGCGAAGAUAAAAAUGUAGACGUGAGGAAGAUUUAAAAAAAUGGAAGAGAGAAAACGCCAAAUUGUAACGAAUUUGAGGAGGAGGCUGAGGGUGCCUGUGCUGAGGCUGGGCAGGAGGAGAAAAAGGAGAAAAUAGAGGAAAUAGAAGAAAAUAGAGAAAAUAGAAGAAAAUAGAGAAAAUAGAAGAGAGGAAAUAGAAGAAAAAGAGAGGAAGUAGAAGACGGCGGAGGCAGAGUUAAAAAACGGGAGGCGAGCCGGAGCGUGGUGAAGCUGACCGAAAAUCGGCGCAAAUUGGCGGAAUCGGCCCCAAAACGGAGCAGCGGAGACGCCGGGGCGCGGUACCGGUGUCGCCGCGCCGCAGAGUGUAAGCAACAAAAAGCGACAAAAUGGAGGAAAAAUAACAAAAAAAAGCUAAUUCCGCUGAGGAAAAUGAGCAGGAUGAGGAGAAAGAGACCCAAAAAGAGAUCCUCAGGCUCAGGAUUUAAGCAAAAAAAAGGCAAAUCCGCACCCAAAACCGCGCUCAGCCCCGCAGUGGCAGCGCUCCCAGGAGCUUUUCUGCAGGGAGAUUUUGAGGAUAAAAAGCGCAGAUUUGGUUAAUUGAGACUCGGUUCGGAAGUAAGAUUUUUUGUUUGUUUUUUUUUUCUCUGUUUUUCCAUUUUGGGGCGUUUUCUGUGUUUUUUUAUUGUCUGGUUGGUGGAGCGGAGCUGGCUCGGUCGGGGGUAGGGGUCUGGCUGUGCUGGGGAGGGGGGGGANNNNNNNNNNNNNNNNNNNNNNNNNNNNNNNNAGGGGUUGGGGGGGGGAGGGGGGGUGUAAUAUUCUGUAUUUCCAGGUUUUUCUCCGUAAAAGGCAGCAGGAUGCUUAAAUUUAGGCUUUUUCCCCCAAACCGUGAGUUGUAAAAGUAGGAGUGGGAAACGGGGUAAAAGGAGGCAAAAAAAACCAAAAAAACGCCAAAAACG